CCGAGUUUUCAACUCCCAAACCCACUGUGAACAUAUACCAUUGUUUAUUCGUUGCCUCGGCGGGUUCUAUCCCUGGAAACAGGGCAAGCCCCCGCCGGGUGACACCAAAACCCUGAAUGUGUUUAGUUACACAGCAGUAUUACUCUGAGUCACAUCAUUUUAAAUGAAUCA
rnacentral:misc_RNA from 1 species